UACGUAGGGUGCGAGCGUUAAUCGGAAUUACUGGGCGUAAAGCGUGCGCAGGCGGUUUUGUAAGCCAGAUGUGAAAUCCCCGGGCUUAACCUGGGAAUGGCAUUUGGGACUGCAAGGCUUGAGUGCGGCAGAGGAGACUGGAAUUCCUGGUGUAGCAGUGGAAAUGCGUAGAUAUCAGGAGGAACACCGAUGGCGAAGGCAGGUCUCUGGGCUGACACUGACGCUCAUGCACGAAAGCGUGGGGAGCAAACAGG
rnacentral:rRNA from 1 species